GCACUUUUUGUUUCAAUAAAUCUGCUUUCCUGCAGCAAUCCGGAGUGCCUGGACUGAAUUUAUUUUAUCUACUAAACUGGGUUUUGCCAACCCUGACCCAGAUAAGCACCUAGAUGCCUAAGAGUGAGAGUGCUAUCCUCCGUUUGUGAAUCCCCUUCAAACUAAGACACAGAAAAAUGAAGACCCCAAACUCUGCAAACCUUCCGAGUAUCUGCAUGAAACCUGGCUGUCAUUGGGGGGCCUGUGUGAGUGGUGACUUUAAAACCAGCUUCAGAUGGAAUGGCUGAGACCUACUUGUGGUAUUGGAUGAAC